GAUGAAGAACGCAGCGAAAUGCGAAAAGUAAUGUGAAUUGCAGAAUUCAGUGAACCAUCGAAUCUUUGAACGCACAUUGCGCCCGCUGGAACUCCGGCGGGCACGCCUGUCAGAGCGUCAUUUCAACCCUCAGGCCCCCCUUCGCGGGCGGGCCUGGUGUUGGGGCCCGGCCGCUACCCUGCGGCCGUCCCCUAAAUUCAGUGGCGGCCUCGCCGUGAUCCCUUGCGUAGUAAUGCACCUCGCACCGGAGAGCGCCGUGGCCACGCCGUAAAACCCCCAAUUUUCAAUGGUUGACCUCGGAUCAGGUGGGAAUACCCGCUGAACUUAAGCAUAUCAAUAAGCGGAGGA
rnacentral:misc_RNA from 1 species